GGUGCCAUCUUCAACUGGUGGGGCCCCGCAUUGAUGCAGCGGGUGAGGUGGUUCGAGUCCAUCUGGCGCCU